GCUUUGGUCCUGGGCCUAUCAUUACUUUUUGUUAGGAUUAUACAUGCAAGUCUCCUCAAACCGGUGAGUUUGCACCAAUGCUCCCCCUCCCGGGCAAACAACAUAGAUAUCAGGCACGAUCUGUACAUCAGCCCACAACAUCACGUUCUACCACACCCUCACGGGCAUGCAGCAGUAAUUAAUAUUAGACAAUGAAUGUAAAUUUGAUCUAACAAUAACAAACUAAGUUGGUUAAUUUCGUGCCAGCCACCGCGGUUAUACGAAAGACUACAAUUAAUGAUACACCGGCGUAAAGCGUGGCCAGAUGCCACACUAAGGAAAAUCAACUCUGGUUCAGCAGUAAUAUGCACAAACCUACAGGAACUACAUCUUUCCCUACUAUUGCACCACGAAAGCCCAGACACAAACUAGGAUUAGAUACCCUACUAUGCUGAGCCAUAAACUUGACGCGCAUCAAAACAAGCCGUCCGCCAGAGAACUACGAGCGCACAGCUUAAAACUCAAAGGACUUGGCGGUGUCCCAAACAGCCUAGAGGAGCCUGUCCUAUAACCCGAAACCACGCGCUUCACCCAACCACUUGUUGCAUAUAACAGCCUAUAUACCGCCGUCGUCAGUUCACCUUAUGAAAGCAUCUUAGUGGACAAAAGAGUCAGUACACUAAUACGUCAGGUCGAGGUGUAGCUAAUCAUGUGGAAGCGAUGGGCUACAUUUUCAUAAAAUGACCAUACGAACAAUAAUAUGAAAUACUUAUUACAAGGCGGAUUUAGUAGUAAAAUAAAUAAGCUUAUUUACUUUAACCAUGCUCUGGGACGCGCACACACCGCCCGUCACCCUCUUCAAAUAACAAUUACCCAUAUAUAAUUACUUACCACAACAAAAAGAAGAGAUAAGUCGUAACAUGGUAAGCGUACUGGAAAGUGCGC
rnacentral:rRNA from 1 species